rnacentral:rRNA from 1 species
CCUACGGGGGGCAGCAGUGGGGAAUAUUGCACAAUGGGCGAAAGCCUGACGCAGCGACGCCGCGUGAGGGAUGAAGGUCUUCGGAUCGUAAACCUCUGUCAGCAGGGAAGAACGGUCACUGUGCUAAUCAGCAGUGAAUUGACGGUACCUGCAAAGGAAGCACCGGCUAACUCCGUGCCAGCAGCCGCGGUAAUACGGAGGGUGCGAGCGUUAAUCGGAAUUACUGGGCGUAAAGCGCUCGUAGGCGGUAUGUCAAGUCAAGGGUGAAAUCCCCGCGCUCAACGUGGGAACUGCCUUUGAAACUGGCAAACUGGAGUGUGUGAGAGGAUAGUGGAAUUCGAGGUGUAGGAGUGAAAUGCGUAGAUAUCUGGAGGAACAUCAGUGGCGAAGGCGACUAUCUGGCACAUAACUGACGCUGAGGAGCGAAAGCGUGGGUAGCAAACAGGAUUAGAUACCCUAGUAGUC